rnacentral:rRNA from 1 species
ACACCGGCAGCUCAAGUGGUGGCCGUUUUUAUUGGGCCUAAAGCGUUCGUAGCCGGCCUGAUAAGUCUCUGGUGAAAUCCCGCAGCUUAACUGUGGGAAUUGCUGGAGAUACUAUCAGGCUUGAGGUCGGGAGAGGUUAGAGGUACUCCCAGGGUAGGGGUGAAAUCCUAUAAUCCUGGGAGGACCACCUGUGGCGAAGGCGUCUAACUGGAACGAACCUGACGGUGAGUAACGAAAGCCAGGGGCGCGAACCGGAGUAGAUAACCGGGUAGUACUGGCCGUAAACGAUGUGGACUUGGUGUUGGGAUGGCCUCGAGCUGCCCCAGUGCCGAAGGGAAGCUGUUAAGUCCACCGCCUGGGAAGUACGGUCGCAAGACUGAA